rnacentral:lncRNA from 1 species
GCCUCUGAGCCACCCCACCUCAGACAGCGUCAUGGAGAAGUACCCAGCAGGAGUCUCCAUCGAGGCAGUCCACAGACCUGCACUCCCACCUGCCACCAAGUGACUUCCAGGCCAACAUGGCAGUGGCCACAAGAGGAGACAGCCACCAUGCCCUCCCCUCUGCACCGCCUGGAGAACUCUCUGAAGGGGAUCUUGCCCAUGAGGCCCUUGCGCUUCACCUGCGUGACUGGCCCCGGCCCCAGUCCCAGCCCAUGCUCCAGUUCCAGCUUCAGCAGCUCUGAUGGAGAAGAUCUAAGACCAGAGCCUGCCUUUUGGCAGCCACCCCUCCAGCAGAAAGACCACCUUCCCUCCUGUAAGGACCCAGUUCAUCUGGACCCUGUCUCUGGAGCGUCUCCAAGAGUCAACGACAAUACCUGUUCUGCCGAAGACCCUGAGAGAGCAGAGCCCAGGGCCUGCAGCAACCUCAGUGCAGGAAGAGCAGAAGAGAAGACACACCCACCCAGAAGAGAGGAUGGUGCAGAGCGCACAUGCCAGCCUGGCCCUGUCAGCAGUGCUGAAGGAAAAGAAGGAAAAGGAGAGGCAGCUGGGCACCCGUGGCCUGCCCCUCAGCUGGAGGAAAGGUCUGAGCCCAAGGGUACUGAAGAAGACUCCAGGGACCUGGAGCCUGGACAGGGACAGCCCAGUGCCACAGCCAGGACUCAUGGGAAGCUGUUCUCUGGGGACCUUCCGGAACCACCUAGCAAGUCUCCCCUCCCCACAACUGUCUUGUCAAAAUGGUCACCCACUUCUCUUCAGCCACCAUGCCCCUGUGGCAGGUCCCUGCAGCAGGAACUGCAUAACCUUGGCACUGCCCUCACAGACAAGCUAGACCAGCUUGCAGUGACCUUGGCAGGCCUGACUCAGGAAGUUGCAACCAUGAGGACCCAAAUGGAUCAGCUGGGAAGGCGCCCAUGGAGCCUUGGGCCAAAGGGUAAGGGUUCCUGGCGGUUGCCCCUCCCACAGAGACCUCGCUGGAUCAACAGACUGAACCACCGACAUCUACCCUACUGGAGACAGAAGGGCCCCACCAGGCCCAGACCAAAGAUCCUGCGGACCCAGGCAGAAGGCUGCAAGGCUGGUGACCACUCAGGACUCCCUAGAGGGAAGGGUAGUUUGGUGCCUCAGCUGCCUCCAGAAGCUUCCUCAGUAGAAUCUUCCAGGCCCACCUGUAGUUCAUCCCAGCAGAUCUCCUCUACACCUGGAAGCCACACUGUGCUGACUGCACACCCCUCUCUGGAACACACUGAAUGCUACCAGAAUCCCCUCUCCCCUUCAGUGCCUACUGCCUUGGUCCCCCUUGUGGCCUCGCCUACAACCAGUGCAGACCCAGAACCUCAGGCUGCUAGAGGGGCAGCAGUCAGCAUUCCAAACCAGCCCAAGGACCCUAACAGCCUGCUAGGGGAUGCCCUCAGCAAAGACCUCUGGGGAGGUGACCACAGGGAUCCAAGGUGGGGGGCCCAUUAACUGGGCUGUUUGCUCAGCCUUGCUGGGGACUCUGGGUGGCAGGGAUGUCCUGGUGGGACCCUCUGGAGUCCAACCAUCCCAGGCUGUCUGCUUACCUGUUCAACCAGCCCUCUCAUUGCUGCUGCAAGUGUGGCUCUGCCUCUUCUAUGCCAAGCCUCCAUGGUGUCUGCAUAGAGCCACGGAAGAGGCAUUCCUCAGCCAUGCCUCUGGCUUUCUUGGCUCGGGUUCAGUCGGUUGCUCUUCCUCCUUGGCAAAGCCAUGUAGGUUCCAGGUGGGUGUCGUGCAUACCACAUGUGCACAGAGCGAGCUGCAGAGGGCACCACAAGGGCACCUUACCCUGCUCCUGAUCUCAAGGACACUAAAAGGCUAGCCUUUGAUCUCAUUUAGGGAGAGCCUGACUGAGGUCUAAGCUGAAUUUACCCACAUGGAUUCUAAAAUUAAAUAUAUUAGUUGCUAAGUAAAGGCC